rnacentral:rRNA from 1 species
UAAUACGAAGGGGGCUAGCGUUGCUCGGAAUCACUGGGCGUAAAGGGCGCGUAGGCGGGCUCUUAAGUCGGGGGUGAAAGCCUGUGGCUCAACCACAGAAUGGCCUUCGAUACUGGGAGCCUUGAGACCGGAAGAGGUGAGUGGAACUGCGAGUGUAGAGGUGAAAUUCGUAGAUAUUCGCAAGAACACCAGUGGCGAAGGCGGCUCACUGGUCCGGGUCUGACGCUGAGGCGCGAAAGCGUGGGGAGCAAACAGGAUUAGAUACCCUGGUAGUCCACGCUGUAAACGAUGGAUGCCAGCCGUUGGCCGGCUUGCCGGUCAGUGGCGCAGCUAACGCUUUAAGCAUCCCGCCUGGGGAGUACGGUCGCAAGAUUA